rnacentral:tRNA from 1 species
GCCGACGUAGCUCAGAAGGUAGAGCAGCUCACUCGUAAUGAGCAGGUCAGCGGUUCGAGUCCGCUCGUCGGCU